rnacentral:rRNA from 1 species
CCUACGGGAGGCAGCAGUGAGGAAUAUUGGUCAAUGGGCGUAAGGCUGAACCAGCCAAGCCGCGUGAGGGACGAAGGUGCCAUGCAUCGUAAACUUCUUUUAUCAGGGAAUAAAGUCAGGCACGUGACCUGGUCUGUAUGUACUUUAAGAAUAAGCAUCGGCUAACUCCGUGCCAGCAGCCGCGGUAAUACGGAGGAUUCGAGCGUUUUCCGGAUUUAUUGGGUUUAAAGGGUGCGUAGGCGGCCUUUUAAGUCAGCGGUUAAAGGCCGGGGCUCAACCCUGGGAGUGCCGUUGAAACUGGGAGUCUUGAGAAUGUUUGAGGCAGGCGGAAUGCGUAGUGUAGCGGUGAAAUGCUGAGAUAUCGCGCAGAACCCCGAUUGCGAAGGCAGCAUGCC